rnacentral:rRNA from 1 species
CAGCAGCCACGGGAAUACGGAGGGGGCUAGCGUUGUUCGGAAUUACUGGGCGUAAAGCGCACGUAGGCGGCUUGGUAAGUUAGAGGUGAAAGCCUGGAGCUCAACUCCAGAAUUGCCUUUAAGACUGCCGAGCUAGCAGGUGAGAGAGGUAAGUGGAAUUCCGAGUGUAGAGGUGAAAUUCGUAGAUAUUCGGAAGAACACCAGUGGCGAAGGCGGCUUACUGGCUCAUACUGGACGCUGAGGUGCGAAAGCGUGGGGAGCAAACAGGAUUAGAUACCCGGGUAGUCCCUGUCUCUUAUAC